GACCCCACUACCAGUACUAUCUCCCCCUCCCCUUCAUUCAGAGAGGAACCGGAUAAGAGAACCAAACAGCGGACACGCUUUGAUUUUAGGUGCAACCUUACUGUUGAUCGUCAUGUGGAGAGGUUCAAUUUAACUCAGAUUUUAAUUUACUUAUACUUUUUAUUUUUAUUUUAAAAGUAAUUAUAAGAUUUGAGACACGUUUUGAACAUAAAAUAAUAAUAAUUAGCAUCGUAAUGCGAAAAAUGCAUGUUGUGUCGACCUUGGCGCGUGAAGUUAACCGCGAGAGAGACGAAAUCGCUUCUCGCGCCAUCCUAAACUAUAUUCACGUUUCUUUUACAGAACAUGGGGGACGCGAGGCGGACCGGCUCUAGAACGGAUGCGUCAACGCUGCUCGUUUAAUGGAACGCAGCGAUCGCGGGACGGACCGGCUCCAGAACGGAGGUGUCGUCGCUGCUCGUUUAACAGAUUCGAUGCUCGUGUGCAGUGCGGCGGCGGCGCGAGCGCGGCGUCGAUUUUGACGCGUAAAGUUGAUCGCGCGGAAGGGAAGGAAGCCGCUUCGCCAUCUUGAUCCCCAUUUACGUGUUUGAUUGCAAAACGCGGCGGACGCAGGACGGAUCGAAACCAGAGCAAGCGGCGUUGCGACUUGUUUAACAGAACGCGGCGUACACAGAAAGGACCAACUCCGGAACAAAUGGCGUUACAUUCAUCCAAUUAAUCGUAUAGUUUCGUAUGUACUACAAUUCUAUUAUUGCACAUCGUCGGAAUAUAAUCUGAAAAGAAAAUCUGACAACUUGGAAAUAAAUCAGAUUUAAGAGAGGUAUCGGGCUUCGGUGGAGCAACUUUGCGAUUCAUCGUAGCGACGUAUCUGAUAACUCCACUGUUGCGCAUCAAUCGCAAACUUAUUCCUCCCAUGUGUAUAAAGCUGACGCAUACUCGACGAUGAUUUAAAUAAACGAAUCACAAUCGGUUCGUUGCAUCACGCGUUUGUUUCGGGAGUGCCGUUUAAAGUAAUAGAAUUUAAUUAGUCCACGGGCGCAAUUUUAGUGUAUUUAACGCGAGUGUUCCGCGAGUGCAACGAGACGAGGAGGCUCGACAACCUGGAUCUGAGAGGAGGAGGAGGUCUGGGAGAGGCAUCGGGUCCCAGCGGAGCAACUUUGGGUAUCAUCGCAGCUUCGUGGCCGAUUAACUCCGCUCGUUGCGCAUCAGGUCGGUGAGUCAAAACAAUUAUAAUAUUGAUGUUUUAGGGGGAAUCAAGGAAUACUUGAUGGAUGAUGUUGAAAAUUGUAUAAUUCUCAUCCGCGUUCCUCCCAUCGAUCGUGUUUGAACCGUGCCAAGAAAUUCUACGCGCCGCUAUUUGAUUUAAUCUUUUGUAGGCGUUAAUAUAAUUUAACGAAAUUAUUGGACGUGGUAACCUGAGGAUUUUUCUUCCCGUGAAUGAAUGUAAUAAUAUUACGAUUUUCCAACAUUUAUUCGUCGAACUUCUUAAUACAAUUCUCUAACAGCUUACGGCUGACAUCAAUAUUGUCGUUUCAACAUAAAUAGCUAUUUCACUACAAUGUGAUACAUCUGAUAUUCUUAUACAACAUUAUUUAGUUCCUAGUUCGACAUCGGAAGAAUACAAAUUUUUGACACCGAUUGUUUUACAAUACCAUUUUACAAUACCAAAAUAGUAUUGUAAAAAAACCGGUGUCAAAAAUUUGUAUUAAAUAUCGACUCUGAAAGAUUCCGGCUUUUCUUUGAAAGAGAAUGUUUGAUCUAUGCCGUUAAACUGAUUUACUUGCCGAGCAUUUAAAUGUCAUUGGAGUUCUUAUUUUUGGAGUCAAUCAAUUCCUAUGUAUAAAAUUACAUGAUGUAAUUGCUGUUUUAUAUGUUUAACUUUGUAUAAGAGUUAUUGACAUGAAUACGUAAUUGUAAUGUCAAUAAUUGUAUUAAUAGCGUUACAUAGUGCUAACAUAUCAAUUGUCGAUAUUUUUGAAACGUGUAUUAAUAAUAGGACAUGAAGAAACCCUAUGUAGUAAAUGAUAAUAGUUGUCCCAACAUUUUACCAUAAAAGAUAACUUAUCGACUGCAACUAUAAUACAUGUAUAAAAGCACAUGCAUGCACAUGCAGGUCUUACAGCUGAAGUUGGUAAGUUAUCUCCUUUGGUAAAACGUUGGGACUACCAUUAUGAUUAUAUAUGUAUAUUAUUGACAUAUAUUAUAUUUAUUUAUUUAUUUAUGUUAUUUUUAUAUUUUUAAAAUUUUUUAUAUUUUACUUUUUGCUAGUAUAAAUUUUUUGUUUCUUAUAAAAUUUUUCUACCCUAAAUGUAACUAAAUCACUGAAAAUAGGAUCGAUAAAGUUAAAAAAUUGAAAAUAUUGAAUUUGAUAGCGUUCUUUUAUUUAAAUUAUAUCAAUUUUAAAGUUACAUAGAAAUCAGUAAAUAACAAUAAUAUUUAGUUUGUAAUAGUCAAAAAUAACAUAAUUUUUGUUUGCUUGAGACUCUUAGAAAAUACUCGUUAAAACUAAUAUGCGCCAAAACAGUAAAAAUAAUAAAAUUAAAUAUAAUGUCGUAUAUUCCGUAACUAAUAGUACAGUAAAAAAAAGGCUAUAAAAUAAUAAGAUGAAUCAAUUGGUGCAACGAAAACACAUAGUUGCUUUAAAAAAAAUAUACAAUAACAUAAAAUAUAUAUAUUUACGUUUUUCAAAGCAAUUAUGUGUUUUUUUAUAGUUGAUUUAUCUCUUU